UUUUUUCUCUUCCUUUCUGCCUUCCUCUCUGUUUUGGUUUGUGGAUCAGCUUCAUCCUCUUUUCCUGUAAAUCAGCUGUCUUUACUUCUUGCAUUUUUAGAAGAUGGCCCCUCUCCCACAAUUCAUAUGACGUGCCCAACAGAGACUAACUGGGGAGAAUUUUCAGAGGAGUGAGGGGUGCAGGCUGGGCACAUGCAGUAAGCAUCAUCUGCUUUUCUUUGCCUUAACUGCUCUGUGCAGACCCAUGUUACCCUACACUUGAAGAUGAACUGUACCCCGCCCUUACAUCCCAUUACAGACAGUAAUGAUGAUGAUGGUAUAUACCCAUUUUAAUAUAGUGGUUAUUCCAUGCCUGGUUCUGGUCUAAGCAUUUUUUCUAUACUUAUUUAAUUCUCACAAUUUUUUCAAGAAAUUGAAGCACAGAGAGGUUAACCUGACCUAAAUCACACAGCUUGAGAUUUGAAAAGCUAAGAUUUUUAAUCUUAGACAUGUAGCUUUUAGAGUCUGGGCUUUUCAGAGCCCGGGCUACACUACUUUGUUCUGGUACCUUGGGGUCUAGGUGGAGCUUCUAGCCAUCAUCCUGCGAUUGCUCCUAAAUUAAAU
rnacentral:lncRNA from 1 species